GAGACCCACGCCAACAGUUGCCAGCUCGGUCCUCCCGGGGAUGGUGGGGACGACUGUUGGGACCGGCCUCUGCUAAAGAGGAGGAAGGAAUGGGCAACGGUAGGUCAGCAUGCCCCGAAUUAUCUGGGCUACACGCGGGCUACAAUGGGUGGGACAAUGGGUAUCGACACCGAAAGGUGAAGGCAAUCUCCUAAACCCAUCCGUAGUUCGGAUUGUGGGCUGCAACUCGCCCACAUGAAGCUGGAAUCUGUAGUAAUCGUGUCUCAAAAUGGCACGGUGAAUAUGUCCCUGCUCCUU
rnacentral:rRNA from 1 species